CCCUCAGCGCGCCGCUUGGCCCGUCUUUCUAAAUAUUAGUAUAAUAAAUAUAAAUGGCAUUGGAACGUGAGGGGGCAGGGGCCACGUGAUCGCUCCACGAAAGCCACUUG
rnacentral:lncRNA from 1 species